rnacentral:rRNA from 1 species
UACGUAGGUGACCAGCGUUGUCCGGAAUCACUAGGCGUAAAGCGCAGGUAGGCGGUUUGGUAAGUCUCUUGUGAAAGCUCCCGGCUCAACUGGGAGAGGUCAAGGGAAACUACCAGGCUAGAGUGUGGCAGAGGAGACUGGAAUUCCCGGUGUAGCGGUGAAAUGCGCAGAUAUCAGGAGGAACACCGGUGGCGAAGGCGGGUCUCUGGGCCGAUACUGACGCUGAGGAGCGAAAGCGUGGGGAGCGAACAGG